AAUCGAACGAAUCGCAGGUAUAUGCGAUAAGUCAUUCAAGUUUCUGCCCUAUCAGCUUUGGAUGGUAGUGUAUUGGACUACCAUGGCAGUCACGGGUAACGGAGAAUUAGGGUUCGAUUCCGGAGAGGGAGCCUGAGAAACGGCUACCACAUCUACGGAAGGCAGCAGGCGCGCAAAAUUGCCCAAUCCUGACACGGGGAGGCAGUGACAAGAAAUAACAACUCUAGGAUUUCUUAGAAGUGUAAUGAGGAUAAUUUACAAACCUUACCGAAUGCAAUUGGAGGGCAAGUCUGGUGCCAGCAGCCGCGGUAAUUCCAGCUCCAAUAGCGUAUAUUAAAAGUUGUUGCAGUUAAAAAGCUCGUAGUUGAAGUUCUGAUUGCUCAGGUUUCCAGCCUUAGGCGGAGAUACUGACAGUCAUCCGCUUGCAAACAUAUGUUCGAUCUUCACCGGUUGGCUAUGUGAGUAAGCACUUUACCUUGAGAAAAACAGAGUGUUCCAGGCAGGUUGUCCGGG
rnacentral:rRNA from 1 species